rnacentral:rRNA from 3 species
GUGGACGCCAGUCUGCAUGGAGCCGACCUUGAAAUACCACCCUUUAAUGUUUGAUGUUCUAACGUGGACCCGUGAUCCGGGUUGCGGACAGUGUCUGGUGGGUAGUUUGACUGGGGCGGUCUCCUCCUAAAGAGUAACGGAGGAGCACGAAGGUUGGCUAAUCCUGGUCGGACAUCAGGAGGUUAGUGCAAUGGCAUAAGCCAGCUUGACUGCGAGCGUGACGGCGCGAGCAGGUGCGAAAGCAGGUCAUAGUGAUCCGGUGGUUCUGAAUGGAAGGGCCAUCGCUCAACGGAUAAAAGGUACUCCGGGGAUAACAGGCUGAUACCGCCCAAGAGUUCAUAUCGACGGCGGUGUUUGGCACCUCGAUGUCGGCUCAUCACAUCCUGGGGCUGAAGUAGGUCCCAAGGGUAUGGCUGUUCGCCAUUUAAAGUGGUACGCGAGCUGGGUUUAGAACGUCGUGAGACAGUUCGGUCCCUAUCUGCCGUGGGCGCUGGAGAACUGAGGGGGGCUGCUCCUAGUACGAGAGGACCGGAGUGGACGCAUCACUGGUGUUCGGGUUGUCAUGCCAAUGGCACUGCCCGGUAGCUAAAUGCGGAAGAGAUAAGUGCUGAAAGCAUCUAAGCACGAAACUUGCCCCGAGAUGAGUUCUCCCUGAGACUUUAGGUCUCCUGAAGGAACGUUGAAGACGACGACGUUGAUAGGCCGGGUGUGUAAGCGCAGCGAUGCGUUGAGCUAACCGGUACUAAUGAACCGUGAGGCUUAACCUUACAACGCCGAAG